rnacentral:rRNA from 1 species
AGUGAACGCUGGCGGUAGGCCUAACACAUGCAAGUCGAACGGCAGCACAGUAAGAGCUUGCUCUUACGGGUGGCGAGUGGCGGACGGGUGAGGAAUACAUCGGAAUCUACUUUUUCGUGUGGGGUAACGUAGGGAAACUUACGCUAAUACCGCAUACGACCUACGGGUGAAAGCAGGGGAUCUUCGGACCUUGCGCGAUUGAAUGAGCCGAUGUCGGAUUAGCUAGUUGGCGGGGUAAAGGCCCACCAAGGCGACGAUCCGUAGCUGGUCUGAGAGGAUGAUCAGCCACACUGGAACUGAGACACGGUCCAGACUCCUACGGGAGGCAGCAGUGGGGAAUAUUGGACAAUGGGCGCAAGCCUGAUCCAGCCAUACCGCGUGGGUGAAGAAGGCCUUCGGGUUGUAAAGCCCUUUUGUUGGGAAAGAAAAGCAGCAGGUUAAUACCCCGCUGUUCUGACGGUACCCAAAGAAUAAGCACCGGCUAACUUCGUG